GCCCCUGGUCUGCUCAGGACGCUAGCCUCUCCCUGCCUGCGCUGGUCUGUUUCUGGCCCCUCAGGACAAACCUUUCCUGGCGAUCUUCCAGAUUGACUUCAGCAGAAUCUGAUAAAUGGAAUAGGACAUAUAUAAUAAACUACAUUAUGGAAAGAAAUGACGAAGGGAAAAAAAUGCAUGAAGAAAAUUGGGUGGACUACAUCAAUGGUUGAUUCCAUCUCUACAUCUGUGAUCCUGUGAUAACAUUUAUGCCAUUUUCUGCUUUUUUUUUCCCUUAUAAAUUUUCACUUGUUAGUUGGGGAUUAAAAGCCAUAUCAUAGAAUGGAGAUUGGGAGCAGUAUCUAAUAGGAUCCCUACUAUGCUCCACCUCACCCAAAACACAAGGCUGAACUAUUUUUUCUAAAGUCCCAUCCCAUGAAGGAUAGGUCUUUUUUUCCUUAAAACAUAUUGAAACCAUUCCAUAAUAGGGCAUGGGUAUGGGUUAAGACUAGAACAGUUGAUAUAAUUUUCUGAUAGCUUAAAUAAAAAUACCAAUACAUAGGACUUCUUCCUUCAGUCUUGAUGGAGUGAAUGCUGAUUUGGCCAAUCUAUAAGGUAAAAAAAAUGUACAUAAUUAAAUCAAUUUUGUAUUCUUCUUGAAUAUAUUUUCAAUGUAAUGAUAAUUAAGUAAACUUAACUUGCUUGAGCUAA